GGUGUGCCUGGGCGGGGGGAUGGUUGCCCCUCCUUUAUGUCAAAAUGAAUCUCGGCAACGGAUAUUUCGGCUCUCGCAUCCAUGAAAAACGUAACGAAAUGGGAUACUUGGUGUGAAUUGGAAAAUCCCGUGGAACAUCCAGUCUUUGAAUGCCAAUUGGGCCCAAAGCCCUUCG
rnacentral:rRNA from 1 species